rnacentral:rRNA from 1 species
AGUGAACGCUGGCGGUAGGCCUAACACAUGCAAGUCGAACGGCAGCACAGGAGAGCUUGCUCUCUGGGUGGCGAGUGGCGGACGGGUGAGGAAUACAUCGGAAUCUACUUUUUCGUGGGGGAUAACGUAGGGAAACUUACGCUAAUACCGCAUACGACCUACGGGUGAAAGCAGGGGCCCUUCGGGCCUUGCGCGAUUGAAUGAGCCGAUGUCGGAUUAGCUAGUUGGCGGGGUAAAGGCCCACCAAGGCGCGGAUCCGUAGCUGGUCUGAGAGGAUGAUCAGCCACACUGGAACUGAGACACGGUCCAGACUCCUACGGGAGGAAGCAGGGGGGAAUAGUGGACCAUGGGCGCAAGCCUGAUCCAGCCAUACCGCGUGGGUGAAGAAGGCCUUCGGGUUGUAAAGCCCUUUUGUUGGGAAAGAAAUCCAGCUGGCUAAUACCCGGUUGGGAUGACGGUACCCAAAGAAUAAGCACCGGCUAACUUCGUGCCAGCCGCCGCCGUAA